rnacentral:lncRNA from 1 species
AUGUUCUCCACCGCCAUUGUCGAAGCGGCCGCUCUGAGCUGUGGCCGUAAGGUCUCCGGUGCCUGUCGAGGCGGCAAUCCCCGAACCCGGUGGUGGACACCGGAAGUAAGGGAUGCCGUCAAGCUGAAGAAGGAGUCCUAUCAGGCCUGGUUGGCUUGUGGGACUCCUGAGUCAGCUGACGGGUACCGACAGGCCAAGCGGGCUGCAGCCCGGGUGGUUGUGGAGGCAAAAACUCGGGCCUGGGAGGAGUUUGGUGAGGCCAUGGAGAAGGACUAUUGGCUGGCCUCGAAGAGAUUCUGGCAAACCAUCCGGCGCCUCAGGAGAGGGAAACAGUGCCCUACCAACGCUGUUUACAGUAGAGGUGGGCAGCUGUUGACCUCAACUGAGGAUGUCGUCGGGCGGUGGAAGGAGUACUUCGAGGAUUUCCUCAAUCCCGCUGUCACGUCUUCCAUUGAGGAAGCAGAGGAUGAGGGCUCAGAGGUGGACUCGUCCAUCACCCGGGCUGAAGUCACAGAGGUGGUCAAGAAACUCCUCGGUGGCAAGGCACCGGGGAUGGAUGAGAUCCGCCCUGAGUACCUCAAGUCUCUGGAUGUUGUGGGGCUGUCUUGGUUGACACGCCUGUGCAACAUCGCGUGGCGGUCGGGGACAGUGCCUCUGGGAUGGCAGACCGGGGUGGUGGUCCCUCUUUUUAAGAAGGGGGACCGGAGGGUGUGUUCCAACUAUAGGGGGAUCACACUUCUCAGCCUCCCCGGGAAAGUCUAUGCCAGGGUUCUGGAGAGGAGAAUAUGGCCGAUAGUAGAACCUCGGAUUCAGGAGGAACAGUGUGGUUUUCGUCCGGACCGUGGAAAACCCGACCAGCUCUAUACCCUCUACGGGGUGUUGGAGGGUUCAUGGGAGUUUGCCCAACCAAUCCACAUGUGUUUUGUGGAUUUGGAGAAGGCAUUCGACUGUGUCCCUCGCGGCAUCUUGUGGAGGGUGCUUUGGGAAUAUGGGGUCCUGGGUCCUUUGCUAAGGGCUGUCAGGUUCCUGUACAACCAAAGCAGGAGCUUGGUCCGCAUUGCCGGCAGUAAGUCA